UAGUCAUAUGCUUGUCUCAAAGCUUAAGCCAUGCAAGUCUCAGUACAGACUAUAUUAAAGUGAAACCGCAAAAGGCUCAGUAAACCAGUUUUAAUUUACUAGAGUUAACUUGACUGUGCUUGGAUAACUGUGGUAAUUCUAGAGCUAAUACAUGCAACAAAGCCGUGACCAUUCGUGGUCAGGGCGCUUUUAUUAGACCAAGACCAAUCGCCCGGCCAGUCCGGGCGUUAAGUUGAGGAACCUAGAUAACACAGCAGAUCGCAUGGUCUUUGUACCGGCGACCUAUCUUUCAAAUGCCUGACUUAUCAACUGACGAUGGUAGACUCUGUGUCUACCAUGGCUGUUACGGGUAACGGGGAAUCAGGGUUCGAUUCCGGAGAGGGAGCCUGAGAAACGGCUACCACAUCCAAGGAAGGCAGCAGGCACGCAAAUUACCCACUCCCGGAACGGGGAGGUAGUGACAAAAAAUAACGAUACGGGACUCGAUAUGAGGCCUCGUAAUCGGAAUGAGUACACUCUAAAUCCUUUAACAAAAAUCUAUUGGAGGGCAAGUCUGGUGCCAGCAGCCGCGGUAAUUCCAGCUCCAAUAGCGUAUAUUAAAGUUGUUGCGGUUAAAAAGCUCGUAGUUGGUUCUGCGUCCCGCGCUGUCGGUACACCGUUUGUCGGUGACACUGGCAUGACGCGGGAUGUCCUGUCGGUGGCGGCGGAGACCAUAUCGCCGUCGGCUAACACCGCGGCGUGUUGGCCUUCUGUCGCCGGCUUUAUCCUACCGCGGUGCUCUUCACUGAGUGUCGAGGUAGGCCGACACGUUUACUUUGAACAAAUUAGAGUGCUUAAAGCAGGCAAAAAUCUCUGCCAGAAUAGUGGUGCAUGGAAUAAUGGAACAGGACCUUGGUUCUAUUCUGUUGGUCUCCGGAACACAAGGUAAUGAUCAAUGUGGACAGGCGGGGGCAUUCGUAUUGCGGCGUUAGAGGUGAAAUUCUUGGAUCGUCGCAAGACGCACUAGAGCGAAAGCAAUUGCCAAGUAUGUCUUAAUUGAUCAAGAACGAAAGUUAGAGGUUCGAAGGCGAUCA
rnacentral:rRNA from 1 species